AGGAUGAACGCUGGCGGCGUGCCUAACACAUGCAAGUCGAACGUCCUGUCUCGCAAGAGGCAGGGAGUGGCGGACGGGUGAGUACCACGUGGGUCAUCUACCGUGAGGUGAGGAAUACCGGCGAGAAAUCGCCGACAAGACCGCAUAGGCUCGAUGCAAGUCGAGCAAAGCUCUUUCGAGAGAGGGAGCGCCACACGAGGAGCCUGCGCCCGAUUAGCUAGCUGGUGGAGUAACGGUUCACCAGGGCGACGAUCGGUAGCUGGUCUGAGAGGACGAUCAGCCACACUGGGAUUGAGAACGGCCCAGACUCCUACGGGGGCAGCAGUGAGGAAUUUCGUCAAUGGGGGCAACCCUGAACGAGCAACGCCGCGUGCAGGAAGAAGGUUUCGGAUCGUAAACUGCUUUUCUCGGGAAGAGAAUGGACGGUACCCGAGGAAUCAGCCCGGCUAACGUACGUGCCAGCAGCCGCGGU
rnacentral:rRNA from 1 species